rnacentral:rRNA from 1 species
GAUGAACGCUGGCGGCGUGCCUAAUACAUGCAAGUCGAGCGAACAGACGAGGAGCUUGCUCCUCUGACGUUAGCGGCGGACGGGUGAGUAACACGUGGAUAACCUACCUAUAAGACUGGGAUAACUUCGGGAAACCGGAGCUAAUACCGGAUAAUAUAUUGAACCGCAUGGUUCAAUAGUGAAAGACGGUUUUGCUGUCACUUAUAGAUGGAUCCGCGCCGCAUUAGCUAGUUGGUAAGGUAACGGCUUACCAAGGCAACGAUGCGUAGCCGACCUGAGAGGGUGAUCGGCCACACUGGAACUGAGACACGGUCCAGACUCCUAAGGGAGGCAGCAGUAGGGAAUCUUCCGCAAUGGGCGAAAGCCUGACGGAGCAACGCCGCGUGAGUGAUGAAGGUCUUCGGAUCGUAAAACUCUGUUAUUAGGGAAGAACAAAUGUGUAAGUAACUAUGCACGUCUUGACGGUACCUAAUCAGAAAGCCACGGCUAACUACGG